CUACGAUUGUGAUGAACAUGCUAAAGAUUAUGUUAUCAUGAAAUUUCUGUUGACUAAAGGACUGAUGAAACUUUGUGCUAUGGCCAACAAAGAGCACCAGGUUGGGGUGUCACUUUGAACGAGCUGGGUGUGGGAUAUGGGGGUAAUGCGCAAGCUUAUUUAUCUUUGGUUAAAAAGUCCCCGAAAAUGCAGACAGUCUAUGCAAAUUCUAACUAAUUUCAGCAUUCAUGGUUUCUGUCAGGCAAUAUCUUCCUUAAAGUUUUGCAAGGAAACCAAGGGCUCUCAUUGAAAUUAGCACGUAGAAAGCAACUGAAUUGAGACAAGUUUUGCUUUACACAAGCCCAGUUCUACUGAAUAAUAUACCAAGCCAAAUGUAUAGAUACUUUAUACUGUUAUCUGUAUCUACAAGAAUUCUUCUAAGUCCUGAUUUGUAUAUUGAUAACUGACUGUGAUUAUGCAGAGGAUGUUUUGAAGCAGUUUGUGAAAGAUUUUGCUUUGAUUUAUGGUCUUGACUUUGUUGGUUAUAAUAUACAUUCUUUAAUACACCUAGCUCAAGAUGUACGGAAGUUUGGCCCUUUAGACAGCAUUUCCUGCUUCCCAUUAGAAACCUUCCUUGGUGGAAUUUAUUUGGAUUCUGGAAGCAGAUUGGGAAAGGGAAGCGGAAAAGGAGGCCAGUGAUCCCGUCGAGCUCUGAUGAGGAUUGGGACAACACUGCGGAACAGCCAGAGACCUCACCACCAUCAGCAAUGGAGAAUAGACAUUCAAGUGAAACUCACUUCCUGAACAUCACUCAUCCAUUUGUUCAGCCGCUACAACCCUCAACUCCUUCACCUGUGGUUUCACAAACAGUUCCAAGACAACUUCUACAAGCCACCAAUACGAGCAUGUUUGUACAUGUUCUAACCCUCCUGGAAGACAUUAAGGACACUCAGAGGAUCCACAGUCGAAUGCUACAGUCUCUCCUUACACAACGUGAUGGACCAGUUGCUGCAGUAUUACCCGAGGGUGCUGUAUUUCCCAUCCGGACAGUAGCAGAUGUGGCAGCACUGGAGCAAAAACUGGCAGACCCUGUCUUCCUAAAAGAAGUGGUUGCUGUUGUGGCAGAGAUCAGAGGGAGCACUGUUGAUGAAGCCACAAGAAGAAUGAUGGCCUACAUUAUGGACAAUGCUCUUUUUAGGCAAUAUAACUUCGUUGGGUGCCAUGGAAAGCGGGAAUUUCGAGGGCUUAAAGUUUUUGAAGUGCUAUAUGGACCAAUGGAUUGGUGAAUGAGUGAGAAGCUGUGGUUUGCUGCAUUUGUUUUUCCUUUAAACUGUAUAACAUUUAUUUGUUAUUGUUUUGUGUAUACUGUGGACAUUUUUGUCAACAUGUUCUCCAAACAAAAAAUGUAUUAUAUAAAAAAGCAUACUGUUUUAAAAUUUCAUAGUAAUCAGUAUUAAUAAAAAAGAUAAACUGGCUUUGUUGUACAGGGGAUUUAAAUUAUAGCUUACUUACAUUAUCCAAGAUUCCAUCUGGGCAAACACACUUGGGGCCACCAUGGAAACUGAGGACAAAAAUAGCUGGGUCUCAGGUGGGUAACCCAAGUGGGCCCCAACCAUCAGACCCGCUUCUACCCAUCUGGGCCCCAUACUCAUUUGUUGGCUGGGCCUGAUUUGGGGCCCAUCCGGGUCCCAUCAAUAAUCCAUCUGGGCAAACACAUUUGGGGCCACCAUGGAAACUGAGGACAAAAUUAGCUGGGUCCUAGGUGGGUAACCCAAGUGGGCCCCAAAUAUCAGAUCUGCUUCUACCCAUCUGGGCCCCACAUAUUUUUUUUGACUGGGCCUGAUUUGGGGCUUAUCUGGGACCCAGCAUAAACCCAUCUAGGAAAACACAUUUGGGGCCACCAUGGAAACUGAGGACAAAAUUAGCUGGACCCCAGUUGGGUUUCCCAAGUGGGCCCCAAAUAUUAGCCCUGCUGCUC
ensembl:lncRNA